GACUAGUUGGUGAGUAUAGCACUGUAGUGGGCCCUGCAUGCUCUUCUAUAUGCAGGCUAAAUACUGAAACCCGACCUUUUUGCCUCGCUCUGAAUUACUGUUAAAAGCCUUCUGGAGUAGCAGAUGAGAAGGACAGGCUGGUGCUACAGUGGGUCAUCCCACCAUUCCCCAACCUGAUGUAGCACGG